GACGAACGCUGGCGGCGUGCUUAACACAUGCAAGUCGAACGAUGAAGCCGGAGCUUGCUCUGGUGAAUUAGUGGCGAACGGGUGAGUAACACGUGAGUAACCUGCCCUUGACUCUGGGAUAACUGCGGGAAACUGUAGCUAAUACCGGAUACGACCCUCGGAGGCAUCUCCUGGGGGUGGAAAGAAUUUCGGUCAAGGAUGGACUCGCGGCCUAUCAGCUAGGUGGUGAGGUAAAGGCUCACCCAGGCGACGACGGGUAGCCGGCCUGAGAGGGUGACCGGCCAGACUGGGACUGAGACACGGCCCAGACUCCUACGGGCGGCAGCAGUGGGGACUAUUGCACAAUGGGCGCAAGACUGAUGCAGCAGCGCCGCGUGAGGGAUGACGGCCUUCGGGUUGUAAACCUCUUUUAGCAGGGAAGAAGCGAAAGUGACGGUACCUGCAGAAAAAGCACCGGCUAACUACGUGCCAGCCGCCGCGGUAA
rnacentral:rRNA from 1 species